ACUCGAGUGCGAGAGUCGCCCUUGGAGACUCGAUCUCCCCAACUGGACAGUGGGCCCUCCUCGCAGCCGCGCGGCUCCGCUUUCACGGGAACCUUCGGCGAAGGGAGGGGCGCCCCAGGCUUGGACGCGGAAACCCCGGCUGCUUUUGAAGGGGGAACGGGGCUGGCUCCAGUGGAGCGAGGAGCGGCUCCUGCCUUGGGAUGACACGAAGGCCAGAUUUGGAAGCGAAACCGCCCGGUGGUGAAGGGUUGUGCAAUACUCCGUUUCAGUCCCUGGCCUUUUAAGCAGUUAAGGGCUUCCUCCUGGCACAGUUUGAGCAACUUGAAACAGCACAAAGCUGCGUGGUUAGAACAACUUUGAGAAAAAUGUCUGUGUUUCUUUUAAAAAAAACCUUGGCAACUAAAUCUUCUGUGAAAUGACGUUUCCUUUAUAAUCGUUUACUAGGUACAAGAAAGACAAGACAAAGGCAUUUGAAUUACAGACGCGAUAUGGAUACUAAUUUUAUCCAGGGCAGCUGUAAUGAAAAAUAGAAACAAUGUCCUUUUGAUUAAAAAGCUUAUUUUUAAGAGCUUACUGGUUCCCCAGAUGAGCUCUGUGCUAUGAUAACAAAUCAGUGGUUUGAGGAAAAGUUAGAUAAACACUCUUCAAAGUGCACAAGCACAUAAAAUGCUAGAUUAUUUUCAUAGCUACUUGGAUCAGAUAUGAAGUAUGUUUUAGCCAAAGCACC
rnacentral:lncRNA from 1 species